GAUGAACGCUGGCGGCGUGCCUAAUACAUGCAAGUCGAGCGAACAGACGAGGAGCUUGCUCCUCUGACGUUAGCGGCGGACGGGUGAGUAACACGUGGAUAACCUACCUAUAAGACUGGGAUAACUUCAGGAAACCGGAGCUAAUACCGGAUAAUAUAUUGAACCGCAUGGUUCAAUAGUGAAAGACGGUUUUGCUGUCACUUAUAGAUGGAUCCGCGCCGCAUUAGCUAGUUGGUAAGGUAACGGCUUACCAAGGCGACGAUGCGUAGCCGACCUGAGAGGGUGAUCGGACACACUGGAACUGAGACACGGUCCAGACUCCUACGGGAGGCAGCAGUAGGGAAUCUUCCGCAAUGGGCGAAAGCCUGACGGAGCAACGCCGCGUGAGUGAUGAAGGUCUUCGGAUCGUAAAACUCUGUUAUUAGGGAAGAACAAAUGUGUAAGUAACUAUGCACGUCUUGACGGUACCUAAUCAGAAAGCCACGGCUAACUACGUG
rnacentral:rRNA from 1 species